UCCCAGACUCCUACGGGAGGCAGCAGUGGGGAAUAUUGCACAAUGGGGGAAACCCUGAUGCAGCGACGCCGCGUGAGUGAAGAAGUAUUUCGGUAUGUAAAGCUCUAUCAGCAGGGAAGAAAAUGACGGUACCUGACUAAGAAGCCCCGGCUAACUACGUGCCAGCAGCCGCGGUAAUACGUAGGGGGCAAGCGUUAUCCGGAUUUACUGGGUGUAAAGGGAGCGUAGACGGCAGUGCAAGUCCGGAGUGAAAGCCCGGGGCUCAACCCUGGGACUGCUCUGGAAACUGUAAAGCUGGAGUGCGGGAGGGGCAGGCGGAAUUCCUGGUGUAGCGGUGAAAUGCGUAGAUAUCAGGAGGAACACCGGCGGCGAAGGCGGCCUGUUGGACCGUAACUGACGUUGAGGCUCGAAAGCGUGGGGAGCAAACAGGAUUAGAUACCCUGGUA
rnacentral:rRNA from 1 species